rnacentral:tRNA from 1 species
GCGGGGGUCGUGUAGCCUGGCCAAUCACGCAAGGUUGAGGGCCUUGUUCCUUAGUGGAUACGGGAGUUCAAAUCUCUCCCCCCGCA